GUUGUUGGGUAGGGGAGCGUUCUGUAAGCCUGUGAAGGUGGCCUGUGAGGGUUGCUGGAGGUAUCAGAAGUGCGAAUGCUGACAUAAGUAACGAUAAAGCGGGUGAAAAGCCCGCUCGCCGGAAGACCAAGGGUUCCUGUCCAACGUUAAUCGGGGCAGGGUGAGUCGACCCCUAAGGCGAGGCCGAAAGGCGUAGUCGAUGGGAAACGGGUUAAUAUUCCCGUACUUGGUGUUACUGCGAAGGGGGGACGGAGAAGGCUAUGUUGGCCGGGCGACGGUUGUCCCGGUUUAAGCGUGUAGGUGUGUGUUCCAGGUAAAUCCGGUUCACUUUAACACUGAGGCGUGAUGACGAGGCACUACGGUGCUGAAGCAACAAAUGCCCUGCUUCCAGGAAAAGCCUCUAAGCAUCAGGUAACAUCAAAUCGUACCCCAAACCGACACAGGUGGUCAGGUAGAGAAUACCAAGGCGCUUGAGAGAACUCGGGUGAAGGAACUAGGCAAAAUGGUGCCGUAACUUCGGGAGAAGGCACGCUGACAUGUAGGUGAAGUGAUUUACUCACGGAGCUGAAGUCAGUCGAAGAUACCAGCUGGCUGCAACUGUUUAUUAAAAACACAGCACUGUGCAAACACGAAAGUGGACGUAUACGGUGUGACGCCUGCCCGGUGCCGGAAGGUUAAUUGAUGGGGUCAGCGCAAGCGAAGCUCCUGAUCGAAGCCCCGGUAAACGGCGGCCGUAACUAUAACGGUCCUAAGGUAGCGAAAUUCCUUGUCGGGUAAGUUCCGACCUGCACGAAUGGCGUAAUGAUGGCCAGGCUGUCUCCACCCGAGACUCAGUGAAAUUGAACUCGCUGUGAAGAUGCAGUGUACCCGCGGCAAGACGGAAAGACCCCGUGAACCUUUACUAUAGCUUGACACUGAACAUUGAGCCUUGAUGUGUAGGAUAGGUGGGAGGCUUUGAAGUGUGGACGCCAGUCUGCAUGGAGCCGACCUUGAAAUACCACCCUUUAAUGUUUGAUGUUCUAACGUGGACCCGUAAUCCGGGUUGCGGACAGUGUCUGGUGGGUAGUUUGACUGGGGCGGUCUCCUCCUAAAGAGUAACGGAGGAGCACGAAGGUUGGCUAAUCCUGGUCGGACAUCAGGAGGUUAGUGCAAUGGCAUAAGCCAGCUUGACUGCGAGCGUGACGGCGCGAGCAGGUGCGAAAGCAGGUCAUAGUGAUCCGGUGGUUCUGAAUGGAAGGGCCAUCGCUCAACGGAUAAAAGGUACUCCGGGGAUAACAGGCUGAUACCGCCCAAGAGUUCAUAUCGACGGCGGUGUUUGGCACCUCGAUGUCGGCUCAUCACAUCCUGGGGCUGAAGUAGGUCCCAAGGGUAUGGCUGUUCGCCAUUUAAAGUGGUACGCGAGCUGGGUUUAGAACGUCGUGAGACAGUUCGGUCCCUAUCUGCCGUGGGCGCUGGAGAACUGAGGGGGGCUGCUCCUAGUACGAGAGGACCGGAGUGGACGCAUCACUGGUGUUCGGGUUGUCAUGCCAAUGGCACUGCCCGGUAGCUAAAUGCGGAAGAGAUAAGUGCUGAAAGCAUCUAAGCACGAAACUUGCCCCGAGAUGAGUUCUCCCUGAGACUUUAGGUCUCCUGAAGGAACGUUGAAGACGACGACGUUGAUAGGCCGGGUGUGUAAGCGCAGCGAUGCGUUGAGCUAACCGGUACUAAUGAACCGUGAGGCUUAACCUUAC
rnacentral:rRNA from 1 species